UUGAACGCUGGCGGCAGGCCUAACACAUGCAAGUCGAACGGUAACAGAAAGCAGCUUGCUGCUUUGCUGACGAGUGGCGGACGGGUGAGUAAUGUCUGGGAAACUGCCUGAUGGAGGGGGAUAACUACUGGAAACGGUAGCUAAUACCGCAUAACGUCGCAAGACCAAAGAGGGGGACCUUAGGGCCUCUUGCCAUCGGAUGUGCCCAGAUGGGAUUAGCUAGUAGGUGGGGUAAAGGCUCACCUAGGCGACGAUCCCUAGCUGGUCUGAGAGGAUGACCAGCCACACUGGAACUGAGACACGGUCCAGACUCCUACGGGAGGCAGCAGUGGGGAAUAUUGCACAAUGGGCGCAAGCCUGAUGCAGCCAUGCCGCGUGUAUGAAGAAGGCCUUCGGGUUGUAAAGUACUUUCAGCGGGGAGGAAGGGAGUAAAGUUAAUACCUUUGCUCAUUGACGUUACCCACAGAAGAAGCACCGGCUAACUCCGUGCCAGCAGCCGCGGUAAUACGGAGGGUGCAAGCGUUAAUCGGAAUUACUGGGCGUAAAGCGCACGCAGGCGGUUUGUUAAGUCAGAUGUGAAAUCCCCGGGCUCAACCUGGGAACUGCAUCUGAUACUGGCAAGCUUGAGUCUCGUAGAGGGGGGUAGAAUUCCAGGUGUAGCGGUGAAAUGCGUAGAGAUCUGGAGGAAUACCGGUGGCGAAGGCGGCCCCCUGGACGAAGACUGACGCUCAGGUGCGAAAGCGUGGGGAGCAAACAGGAUUAGAUACCCUGGUAGUCCACGCCGUAAACGAUGUCGACUUGGAGGUUGUGCCCUUGAGGCGUGGCUUCCGGAGCUAACGCGUUAAGUCGACCGCCUGGGGAGUACGGCCGCAAGGUUAAAACUCAAAUGAAUUGACGGGGGCCCGCACAAGCGGUGGAGCAUGUGGUUUAAUUCGAUGCAACGCGAAGAACCUUACCUGGUCUUGACAUCCACGGAAGUUUUCAGAGAUGAGAAUGUGCCUUCGGGAACCGUGAGACAGGUGCUGCAUGGCUGUCGUCAGCUCGUGUUGUGAAAUGUUGGGUUAAGUCCCGCAACGAGCGCAACCCUUAUCCUUUGUUGCCAGCGGUCCGGCCGGGAACUCAAAGGAGACUGCCAGUGAUAAACUGGAGGAAGGUGGGGAUGACGUCAAGUCAUCAUGGCCCUUACGACCAGGGCUACACACGUGCUACAAUGGCGCAUACAAAGAGAAGCGACCUCGCGAGAGCAAGCGGACCUCAUAAAGUGCGUCGUAGUCCGGAUUGGAGUCUGCAACUCGACUCCAUGAAGUCGGAAUCGCUAGUAAUCGUGGAUCAGAAUGCCACGGUGAAUACGUUCCCGGGCCUUGUACACACCGCCCGUCACACCAUGGGAGUGGGUUGCAAAAGAAGUAGGUAGCUUAACCUUCGGGAGGGCGCUUACCACUUUGUGAUUCAUGACUGGGGUG
rnacentral:rRNA from 1 species